UAGGUUCACCUUGAAAGACAUAUGUACUCUUAACUGCUACAUUACACUGAUCCUAUACUUUAAUUAAAUAGAAAAUAGGAUACUCCAAAUCAGAUUUACUAUAUGAUACAUUCAUAACGAAUGAAAUCAACAUCUGGAGGCUCACACAGACCCUUUUCCAUUGAGCCAGUAGGAGAAAGGGAGAAAUGAUGUCACUGCAGGGGCAAUUGCUAAACUGUAGUAGCUGGUGGUAAAAUGGGGCAGCAUACUGAGGAAACGAUUCCCUGAAGAUUCUGUGCCUGCUAACACAACAGUGACCCAGUCACUGCACUUCCUCAUUGCUGGAAGAUAAUGAAAAUACCUUCAUAUGGCAAAACAAAACAUGCUUCUCAACAGCU
rnacentral:lncRNA from 1 species